CAGUAGCCGCGGUAAUACAGAGGGUGCGAGCGUUAAUCGGAUUUACUGGGCGUAAAGCGUGCGUAGGCGGCUUUUAAGUCGGAUGUGAAAUCCCUGAGCUUAACUUAGGAAUUGCAUUCGAUACUGGGAAGCUAGAGUAUGGGAGAGGAUGGUAGAAUUCCAGGUGUAGCGGUGAAAUGCGUAGAGAUCUGGAGGAAUACCGAUGGCGAAGGCAGCCAUCUGGCCUAAUACUGACGCUGAGGUACGAAAGCAUGGGGAGCAAACAGGAUUAGAUACCCCCGUAGUCCCUGUCUCUUAUACA
rnacentral:rRNA from 1 species